GUUGGAACACACAAAAAGUCGCCAAAGCGCACAUGCACGGCGUGAAAGGCCCAGAGAGUCGCCCGCGCCUGUGGCCUAGCGGUGGACCCAUUCGACCUCCUGUUCUCCAAAAGAAUCGUGAAUUAAAAAAAGUGACAUGGCGACAAUGACCGGAGAAGAAAAAAAAGACAAAAAAGGAGCAGGGCACACCAACCAAUCACAUUUGUACUGCACAAUGCGUCGAUGGCCGGCAGCGCUUUUUUGGACGAGGCAAAAAGGCGCCGUGGUCGAGCCCUCUGCAGGGACACACACACACGCGCACACAGCGCGCCGACGUCUUUUGCUGUUUGCCAACUACACCGCCUUUUUUUCGACUUUUUUUUCAUCUAAAACAAAAUGCACCGACUCGGCCACCUCGGCAACCGCCGCACACUGGUCGCGCCCGUCGCCGGGGGCGUGCUCGUCGGGCUGGCGGCAUCCUACCGAUCGACCAUUCGCGCAAAAGCCGCCGACGCCCACUAGGACGGCCAGGACGAGUGCCCGAUCCCACACCCUUUUGGCACGGGCAUCGCCAGGCUCGACAAGGCCAUCCGCCACGCCGAAGAGACCGACAACCUGGCAUCCGUGCAACGCCUCUACCAGUUUGUCCUGUCCCACCUGCACAAGGAAUUUACCUUGGUCGAGGCCACGGUGACCAUCCACCACGCCAGCCACCAGUGGUAUGGGCCGCAGCGCGUUGUGCUCGACAAUCCCGAGGGCGUGCUGGCCGACCGCUGGAACGACACGUAUUGGGCGCUGGACAAGGGCGACCGGCCCUACGCGCCCAUGCGACUCCAUGGCAUGGGCAAGACUGCACCGCGGCUUGCCUUUUGCGAGCAACGACCCCACAGCGCGCCACUCGAAUGGACCUUUGAAUUCGCCCCCAAACAAUGACCUUGCC
rnacentral:lncRNA from 1 species